CCUACGGGGUGCAGCAGUGGGGAAUAUUGCACAAUGGGGGAAACCCUGAUGCAGCGACGCCGCGUGAGUGAAGAAGUAUCUCGGUACGUAAAGCUCUAUCAGCAGGGAAGAAAAUGACGGUACCUGACUAAGAAGCCCCGGCUAACUACGUGCCAGCAGCCGCGGUAAUACGUAGGGGGCAAGCGUUAUCCGGAUUUACUGGGUGUAAAGGGAGCGUAGAAGGCAGCAAAAGUCUGGAGUGAACUCCCGGGGCUUAACCCCGGAACUGCUUUGGAAACUGUGCGGCUGGAGUGCAGGAGGGGUAAGCGGAAGUCCUAGUGUAGCGGUGAAAUGCGUAGAUAUUAGGAGGAACACCGGUGGCGAAGGCGGCUUACUGGACUGUAACUGACGUUGAGGCUCGAAAGCGUGGGGAGCAAACAGGAUUAGAGACCCGGGUAGUC
rnacentral:rRNA from 1 species